rnacentral:rRNA from 1 species
AUUGAACGCUGGCGGCAGGCCUAACACAUGCAAGUCGAGCGGAGCGGCGGACGGGUGAGUAAUGCCUAGGAAUCUGCCUGGUAGUGGGGGAUAACGUCCGGAAACGGGCGCUAAUACCGCAUACUAUCAGAUGAGCCUAGGUCGGAUUAGCUAGUUGGUGGGGUAAAGGCCUACCAAGGCGACGAUCCGUAACUGGGCUGAGAGGAUGGUCAGUCACAAUGGAACUUAGACACGGUCCAGACUCCUACGUGAGGCGACAUUGGGGAAUAGUGGACAGUGGGCGAAGCCCUGAUCCAGCCAUGCCGCGUGUGUGAAGAAGGUCUUCGGAUUGUAAAGCACUUUAAGUUGGGAGGCGUGACCAACAGAAUAAGCUCCGGCGAACUUCGUGCCAGCCGCCGCGGUAAUUC